GGCCCGUUGGUCUAGGGGUAUGAUUCUCGCUUUGGGUGCGAGAGGUCCCGGGUUCAGAUCCCGGACGGGCCC
rnacentral:tRNA from 1 species